CAGUCGACGAACUUCUUUAUCACCGAGUGUUUGCACUCACCGAUAUAUUAGUUGAGUGGCGAACGGGUGAGUAACACGUGGGCAACCUGCCCAAAAGAGGGGGGUAACACUUGGAAACAGGUGCUAAUACCGCAUAACCAUAGUUACCGCAUGGUAACUAUGUAAAAGGUGGCUAUGCUACCGCUUUUGGAUGGGCCCGCGACGCAUUAGCUAGUUGGUGGGGUAAAGGCUUACCAAGGCAAUGAUGCGUAGCCGAACUGAGAGGUUGAUCGGCCACAUUGGGACUGAGACACGGCCCAAACUCCUACGGGAGGCAGCAGUAGGGAAUCUUCCACAAUGGGCGAAAGCCUGAUGGAGCAACGCCGCGUGGGUGAAGAAGGUCUUCGGAUCGUAAAACCCUGUUGUUAGAGAAGAAAGUGCGUGAGAGUAACUGUUCACGUUUCGACGGUAUCUAACCAGAAAGCCACGGCUAACUACGUGCCAGCAGCCGCGGUAAUACGUAGGUGGCAAGCGUUAUCCGGAUUUAUUGGGCGUAAAGAGAACGCAGGCGGUCUUUUAAGUCUGAUGUGAAAGCCUUCGGCUUAACCGGAGUAGUGCAUUGGAAACUGGGAGACUUGAGUGCAGAAGAGGAGAGUGGAACUCCAUGUGUAGCGGUGAAAUGCGUAGAUAUAUGGAAGAACACCAGUGGCGAAAGCGGCUCUCUGGUC
rnacentral:rRNA from 1 species